rnacentral:rRNA from 1 species
GAUGAACGCUGGCGGCGUGCCUAAUACAUGCAAGUCGAGCGAAUGGAUUAAGAGCUUGCUCUUAUGAAGUUAGCGGCGGACGGGUAAGUAACACGUGGGUAACCUGCCCAUAAGACUGGGAUAACUCCGGGAAACCGGGGCUAAUACCGGAUAACAUUUUGAACCGCAUGGCUCGAAAUUGAAAGGAGGCGUCGGCUGUCACUUAUGGAUGGACCCGCGUCGCAUUAGCUAGUUGGGGAGGUAACGGCUCACCAAGGCAACGAUGCGUAGCCGACCUGAGAGGGUGAUCGGCCACACUGGGACUGAGACACGGCCCAGACUCCUACGGGAGGCAGCAGUAGGGAAUCUUCCGCAAUGGACGAGAGUCUGACGGAGCAACGCCGCGUGAGUGAUGAAGGCUUUCGGGUCGUAAAACUCUGUUGUUAGGGAAGAACAAGUGCUAGUUGAAUAAGCUGGCACCUUGACGGUACCUAACCAGAAAGCCACGGCUAACUACGUGCCAGCCGCCGCAGUAA